AAAGAAAUAUAUUAAAAGAAGCUUCUAACUUCUUAAAGAGCUGUGCCUGUUCAU
rnacentral:tRNA from 1 species